rnacentral:rRNA from 1 species
AUACGUAGGGGGCAAGCGUUAUCCGGAUUUACUGGGUGUAAAGGGAGCGUAGACGGAAUGGCAAGUCUGAUGUGAAAGGCCGGGGCUCAACCCCGGGACUGCAUUGGAAACUGUCAGGCUAGAGUGCAGGAGGGGUAAGCGGAAUUCCUAGUGUAGCGGUGAAAUGCGUAGAUAUUAGGAGGAACACCGGUGGCGAAGGCGGCUUACUGGACUGUAACUGACGUUGAGGCUCGAAAGCGUGGGGAGCAAACAGGAUUAGAUACCCUGGUAGUCCACGCUGUAAACGAUGAAUACUAGGUGUGGGGGGACUGACCCCCUCCGUGCCGCAGUUAACACAAUAAGUAUUCCACCUGGGGAGUACGAUCGCAAGAUUGAAACUCGAAGGAAUUGACGGGG